UGGGGAAUAUUGCACAAUGGGCGAAAGCCUGAUGCAGCAACGCCGCGUGAGUGAUGAAGGUUUUCGGAUCGUAAAACUCUGUCCUCAAGGAAGAUAAUGACGGUACUUGAGGAGGAAGCCCCGGCUAACUACGUGCCAGCAGCCGCGGUAAUACGUAGGGGGCUAGCGUUAUCCGGAUUUACUGGGCGUAAAGGGUGCGUAGGCGGUCUUUCAAGUCAGAAGUUAAAUUCUACGGCUCAACCGUAGCCAGCUUUUGAAACUGGAAGACUUGAGUGCAGGAGAGGAGAGUAGAAUUCCUAGUGUAGCGGUGAAAUGCGUAGAUAUUAGGAGGAAUACCAGUAGCGAAGGCGGCUCUCUGGACUGUAACUGACGCUGAGGCACGAAAGCGUUGGGAGCGAACAGG
rnacentral:rRNA from 1 species